ensembl:lncRNA novel transcript, antisense to ANK1
GUGAGAAUCUCUGCCUCGAGACACAACAACAAGUUGUUUGUCCCACAUCAUGCUGGGGUGGCUGGGAGGGGAUAGGGUGAGACAGGGAGCAGCCACUCCACUGAAGACCAGGCCAUGCAGAGGGGAUGAGAAGGGCAGCGUUACCUCCCGAGAGGCUACUCCAAGGAGAGCGGCUCGGGGUCACUGUUUCCCCCUUUUCAGGCUGGCCCGCUUCACUAUCUGCGCCCCCUUCCUGCCCUCUAUCAGGUCCGGCUGUAGGCCACUCCCUCUCAGCUCCACCUGCAGACAGCAGCAGAGACAGAAAGCAGGACAGAUCGCAAAGACGGGCAGAACACAGGCAGAAGAUCGAAAGGAGGCCACACGGAGGUGGCAGACACACUGCCCACCAGGGAGAAGAGAGACUGGAGAGAGAGCUCAUAAAGAGCAGGAAACCCGGCUCAGCAUGUAGCAGGAGCCAUGCCAGGGCUCCCAGGGCGUGGGCGGCGCCCCUGAGGGUCUGGGAGGCCUGAAGACGAACGGUCGAGCUCACAAUUGUGCACUUGGCCCUC